rnacentral:rRNA from 1 species
CACGUAGGGGACGAGCGUUGUCCGGAAUCAUUGGGCGUAAAGCGCGCGUAGGCGGCCCGGAAAGUCGGAUGUGAAAACCCGGGGCUCAACCCCGGGCCUGCAUCCGAUACUCCCGGGCUGGAGGCAGGUAGGGGAGUGGGGAAUUCCUGGUGUAGCGGUGAAAUGCGCAGAUAUCAGGAGGAACACCAGCGGCGAAGGCGGCGCUCUGGGCUGGAACUGACGCUGAGGAGCGAAAGCGUGGGGAGCGAACAGG